rnacentral:rRNA from 1 species
CUUCUGUGUUCGCGUUGCUGUUUCAUGCAAUCGUGCGGAAACGAUGGUAAGCUUGCUCCCAGGCGUCGAGCGGCGGACGGGUGAGUAAUACUUAGGAAUCUACCUAGUAGUGGGGGAUAGCUCGGGGAAACUCGAAUUAAUACCGCAUACGUCCUACGGGAGAAAGCAGGGGAUCAUUAGACCUUGCGCUAUUAGAUGAGCCUAAGUCGGAUUAGCUAGAUGGUGGGGUAAAGGCCUACCAUGGCGACGAUCUGUAGCUGGUCUGAGAGGAUGAUCAGCCACACCGGGACUGAGACACGGCCCGGACUCCUACGGGAGGCAGCAGUGGGGAAUAUUGGACAAUGGGGGGAACCCUGAUCCAGCCAUGCCGCGUGUGUGAAGAAGGCCUUUUGGUUGUAAAGCACUUUAAGCAGUGAAGAAGACUCUUCGGUUAAUACCCGGGGACGAUGACAUUAGCUGCAGAAUAAGCACCGGCUAACUCUGUGCCAGCAGCCGCGGUAAUACAGAGGGUGCAAGCGUUAAUCGGAAUUACUGGGCGUAAAGCGAGCGUAGGUGGCUUGAUAAGUCAGAUGUGAAAUCCCCGGGCUUAACCUGGGAACUGCAUCUGAAACUGUUAGGCUAGAGUAGGUGAGAGGGAAGUAGAAUUUCAGGUGUAGCGGUGAAAUGCG